CUCUUUAUUUAAACGGGUCUUUCGCAGGCACUCUGUCAUUCCAAAAUCUCGUUCUAACCUUCCCAGAAGUAAUUGUGUGCAUUAUAGUUUCAAACAUUUUUUGGCUGAACUACGCAGCAAUUCAUGGCGGCUAGGAAGCGACAGCGUCUUGAUGAUCAAUUAGAACUUCCGCAAAUACUUUUACAAGCAAAGCAUCGAUGGCUACGUCCUGCUGAAAUUUUCGAAGUUGUUCAAAAUCAUUCAAGAUUUUGUCUUUCGGAGCCUGCAGAUAAGCCAUCGAGUGGAUCAUUGUAUCUUUAUGAUCGGAACGUACC